rnacentral:lncRNA from 1 species
UUUCUUCAUUAUCAUUUUUGCACAAUCCAUUUUUAUUUUAUGACUAAGUCCUUGGUUACAUUGCUCCCUCUCUAUUUUCGAUUUGGGUAGGUUCCAUCGCUAUAUCAAUUUAGGUUUCAGCUAUAUGCUUCUCUCCCUGUCUCGUGUUCAAUCUGUCUUAGGCUUACAUUUGCUCUCUUUCUUCAACUCAAUCAGUAAGAUUUCUUAUCUCUAUUGUUUGGUCUGCUCUACAUAUUCUAUUUUUUUCUACAAAAGAUUGUGUCUGGUUUGUAUAAAUAUGUUCUUUGCUUUAUAUUGAUGAUUUGAUUUGGGAGAAAGUCCCUACGCCUAUACUUGAUGUAGUUGAAAACCGUUUCCACUUGAAAAAAUUGAUUAUCAAGGUUUGUGUUUUGAGCUUUAUAAUCCUUAUAUAUGCAUAUGCUUUAAACACACUCAAUAAUAAGUUGUGUCUGCAGGAACUAAAAUUAUUAGCGAAUAAAAUCAAUUCAAAAUUGUCUUUGAUAAUGUUAAGAACUCAAAGUUCUUCAAGGCUAGUUUGGCAACAGUGGGAUUGAUGGUUGCAUUGCAUUAUAUUUCCAUGAGGAAUGAAUAUGAUCCAUCUAGG